UACGGAGGGUGCAAGCAUUAAUCGGAUUUAUUGGGCGUAAAGAGCGUGUAGGCGGUCAGGUAGGUCGGUUGUGAAAACUGGAGGCUCAACCUUCAGAGGUCGACCGAAACCCCCUGGCUAGAGUCCGGGAGAGGAGAGUGGAAUUCCUGGUGUAGCGGUGAAAUGCGCAGAUAUCAGGAAGAACACCCGUGGCGAAAGCGGCUCUCUGGAACGGUACUGACGCUGAGACGCGAAAGCGUGGGGAGCGAACAGG
rnacentral:rRNA from 1 species